UUUGGGGUGGCUCAGUGGCAGAGUACAUGCCUGAGGAGAAGGAGGACCUGAGUUCAAAUCUCCAGCACUCAAG
rnacentral:tRNA from 1 species